rnacentral:rRNA from 1 species
CGGUGCUUGCACCGGGGAUUAGUGGCGAACGGGUGAGUAACACGUGAGUAACCUGCCCUUGACUCUGGGAUAAGCCUGGGAAACCGGGUCUAAUACCGGAUAUGACCUGUCACCGCAUGGUGGUGGGUGGAAAGAUUUUUUGGUCUUGGAUGGACUCGCGGCCUAUCAGCUUGUUGGUGGGGUAAUGGCCUACCAAGGCGACGACGGGUAGCCGGCCUGAGAGGGUGACCGGCCACACUGGGACUGAGACACGGCCCAGACUCCUACGGGAGGCAGCAGUGGGGAAUAUUGCACAAUGGGCGCAAGCCUGAUGCAGCGACGCCGCGUGAGGGAUGAAUGCCUUCGGGUUGUAAACCUCUUUCAGCAGGGAAGAAGCGAAAGUGACGGUACCUGCAGAAGAAGCGCCGGCUAACUACGUGCCAGCAGCCGCGGUAAUACGUAGGGCGCAAGCGUUGUCCGGAAUUAUUGGGCGUAAAGAGCUCGUAGGCGGUUUGUCGCGUCUGCUGUGAAAGCCCGGGGCUCAACCCCGGGUCUGCAGUGGGUACGGGCAGACUAGAGUGCAGUAGGGGAGACUGGAAUUCCUGGUGUAGCGGUGAAAUGC